CUGUACUAAGUGCUAGGGAGAGGUCGACGUAACUGCGUAACAGGCCCAUUCCCUGCCCGCGACGAGCCUGAAGUCUGGAGAACCAGAAAGAAAAGGGGGCAGUCAGAGAGGUAGGCGGAGAAUCACGCAUGGUCAGAUCGUUUUGCCAGGAGCGAGGAGUCGCCGGGAGCCUCAGAGACAAUGGAGAGGUCAAGCAGGGCGAGGACCUACUAAGAUGCCAUUAUCAAGUGCCAAUUCCCAGUCCUCCUUUGUUUCGCUGAUAGGAGAGCCCGCGCUGACUCUGUGACAGAAACAGCCCUACCCACAGGAGAUGAAUGAACUCUGCCCUUUGGCGCUUGGGGGAUGUUCGCCACACAGUAACCCCGGGACACUGGGAGAGCGGAACUUUCUCUGAGACAUGAAAGGCUGGCACCCGUACCUCGAGGAAGACCGUGUGGCUCUGCGGGACUCAGCUGUGGGAGUUCGACUUAACCCGUCAAUGAUUAGUUUGCAGUGAGGGCGAUGCUUCAGAUGUACACUGAUGAUGAUUUCGAAUCGGCGACGGCGUUACGGUCAUCACGAUCGUUGGCGGUAGCUACUGCGUGUCGAGUCGUAACAGCAAGGGCCACCUGUGACUAUGAUACCGAGUGGAUGUUAGAUGUCUACAGAUCUACCAUCUAGUAAACAUAAAUCGCAUAA